rnacentral:lncRNA from 1 species
CUAGUGUUCUCUCCAGCUCAUGGGUUUCCUAUAUCAAGAUGUUUGGAUUCACCAUGAGGAUCAGUGUCAAUUUGGAGGUAUAUUUUAUUUGUAUUGAUACCCUGGGAAUACCGAAAGACAAAGUGAGAUGCUGCAGCUGAAGGUAAAACCUUUCCCUUGUUUAUCUGCUCAGCAGUAAAUUCAUUUAUGA